UGGUGAGUUUCAAUGUUUGGUUCAGGAGCUGAAACUGUACCACGGUCGCUUCAGAACCUAUUUUUGGAUGUCUGUUGGACAAUUUGAAGUUCUGCUGAAACAAUUAGCUCCAAGUUUGAAGAGGCAGAGGACUAGACACUAGACACUAGUGUUGAGAUGGCUUUCUGUCAUGAUAGCAUGUACUGAGUCGGGGCCAGUACCAGAUAAGCACAUGAAACUAUGGUAACAACCGUUAGCUUACGUUAGCACAGAUGAAAGUUGAAACAAAGACGUUUAGCAAACUGUUAAAGCACACAAACUAUCCUUUAGGUCGUUAUCUUUGUAAUGUUUGUGUCUUUUAUCAAAAAGCACUCUGUUCUCC